UACCCCCAGGCAAUUCCCGCCGCCAGAACAACUGUCUGGCGGCGGGAACUGCCUGGGGGUAAAAAAAAAAAAAAUUAAAAGG
rnacentral:snoRNA from 1 species